rnacentral:rRNA from 1 species
UACGGAGGGUGCAAGCGUUGUCCGGAUUUAUUGGGUUUAAAGGGUGCGUAGGCGGCCUAUUAAGUCAGUGGUGAAAGCCAACAGCUCAACUGUUGAACUGCCAUUGAUACUGAUAGGCUUGAGUACAGACGAGGUAGGCGGAAUUGAUGCUGUAGCGGUGAAAUGCAUAGAUAGCAUCAAGAACACCGAUUGCGUAGGCAGCUUACUAGGCUGUAACUGACGCUGAGGCACGAAAGCGUGGGGAGCGAACAGG